rnacentral:rRNA from 1 species
UACGAAGGGGGCUAGCGUUGCUCGGAAUCACUGGGCGUAAAGCGCACGUAGGCGGCUUAUUAAGUCAGGGGUGAAAUCCUGGAGCUUAACUCCAGAACUGCCUUUGAUACUGAUGAGCUUGAGUCCGGGAGAGGUGAGUGGAACUGCGAGUGUAUAGGUGAAAUUCGUAGAUAUUCGCAAGAACACCAGUGGCGAAGGCGGCUCACUGGCCCGGUACUGACGCUGAGGUGCGAAAGCGUGGGGAGCAAACAGG